UAAAAAAAAUGGGGAGAAGGGAAAGCUCAGAAUGUCAGCUAAUAAAGGUAAAUGUAAUCAUCAGACAAUCAUUUACCUAAAAGCAAAUACAGCUUUGAUGAGCGGAACGUUUACAUUGUCUUAAAAAUAUCUACACAUCACAUUACUUACUGAAGUUCAACAAUUUUUAAUUGAUUUUGAGAUAGGAAAAGAGAAAUCCAUUUGUUCCACUUAUUCAUGUAUUCAUUGGUUGAUUCUUGUGUGUGCACUGAUCUGCGAACCUGCAACUGGCACAUCAGGAUGACACUCGAACUGACCUACCCGGUCAGGGCCAUUGAGGGACUUACUUGCUUAAAAAUACUUGGCCUGAAUACCGCAGACAUUAACAUUUUUGUAUUCUCAUUCUCAGUGGGGAAGUAUGAUCAUCCCCAUUUAAAGAUUGCUAUGCUUUUAUAGAAUAUUUUGCAAGAAACAGUUAACUUAUUCCCAUUAGAUAACCAAGAAAAGUGUGGGACUACUUAAGCUGAGAUGGGUUGGUAAAUUCUUCAUAGCCUGGAGUGAACCUUGAUUUCCUUAAGUUUUCAUACCGUUAAAACCAUGAUGUCCCCUUUUUAUUUUUUUAUCACCAUUUAAAAUUCAAUAUCACUCAGUGCUAUCUGCCAGGUACUUUUCUGAAUUUUUUACAUGUAUUUACCUAAUCCUCAGCUUCCACUGGGUAAGUCUGGAGCCACUUUACAUUUGAGGAUACCGAAGUACAUGAUUGGAGGAGGUGCUUAAGUUCUCUGGUUUCUUAAAUGAGAACUUAACUUUGCCCUUUUAAAAGAUACUGUCUGUGUAUCUUAAAUGAAUAUCAAAUAGGAUGAUGUGAUGGGAGGGUUUUUAUAAAUAAGUCAUCCACUCAAAUGAUUGUCAGGGUCCAUAUUUAGGACUAAAUGCUAGAUCUUGUGUUCUUGGGCCUUUUGGAGAUAAGUUGGUGAAAGUAAAGCCCAAAAAGAUGUACAGGUGUGGUAAGGUUCCCACAACCAGGACCUUCACCAGGGCCAAAUAGUACUGUUCACAUUUUUUAAAAAAACAUUUUUAGUGACACCAUUAAGCCAGAGCAAUUAUAUUGCAUUUGUCAGCCAACCUUUACCUACUUAUCACAAAGCACCUCAGUUGUGUAUUGAUAGCAAAAAAAGGCCAGUUUUGCUACUAAACAGUCUUAAUAAAAAUUGAAAUUAGGGUUUUUU